rnacentral:lncRNA from 1 species
CUAGAAUUAUUGUUUUAACCCUUUAACUAAACGUAUACUGCAGUUGUCCCACGAGGAAUUACAGUUCAAACACCUAAAAGAAGUAAAUCAAGAACAGGACAGACCCGGUCUGGAAGAACCUGACCGCAAACGCUCCUCCUUCCUCCCCCGUUCCCUCACAGCCUGUUUACAUCAGCCAAAUCCUGCCUGUGUGUGUGGAUCAUACGGAUCAUACCGUGUGGAGUUUUAGUCCGUCGGAUAAUAAUUCUUUCAAUAUUUGUCUUUAUAUUUUUUAAGGAGCGGCCGUAACAUCGGUAAAGGAACAGAUUCUCCGGCUUUUUCUUCCAGGAUGUUGUUUUAUGGGUCUUUUCGAUUUUGCCGCUGGUUCGGAUUUUUCAGCGAGUUAUGGACGAAGAAGUACAUGAAAUAUAAAGCUGCCAUGUUUUCUGUUUUCCACGACUUUCCCCGGUAGACGGUGGUGUGUGUGUUUUUACACCGGGUUAUAGGCCUCCGCUGGUAUCAGCUGGAGAAAGGCUGGGCCGCAGACAGUGCUGCUCUAAACAAAAAGGGGGGCGGGUCGCUGUGAUGUCACAGAAUAUGUGUGAAUAUGUCACUUCCGAGAUUUUGCCGGCACAUUCGACAUUGGCUGCUGGAAUCCGAACUGACAGUAGUGCAAUCAGUGUCUCAGUAUGGACCACUGUUUCAACUCAACUGACACCUUUGCAAUGAACGCCACCAUCAUGUAUGAAGAUGGCAAUGACGAAAACAGUUGGUGGGAUAAGCCAAACCCUCAGGCCUCUCUCCCCAAUUGCAUCUCCUCGUCCCCACCUUCCAACAACAGCUGCAUCGUCUGUGUCGAAAGGAUGACAGAGAUCGUCUAUGCCGUUUGUCGUGAUGUAUCAAAGACUGCACAGAUGAUCAUGGAGGCUCCGGGACACAACAUUAAAAUCUCAAAAAGCGAGUGCCCUGAUCUCCACUCUGAUGGUCCCGUGAAUCCCGACUCUGAUCAGCUUGCCACUUGGAUUAUCGUGGUCAUUGUCCUCUGUGUCCUCGUCUGCAUCUUUGUGGCCAUACGUGUGGUUUACAAGAGAAGACAGAAUAGGUAAGGACCUUUUUGCAGCCAAAACCACAACAAAAUACUGAAAUCAGUCUUUUUCCCUCUCGAAUUAAUAAUAUAUUUGUGUGGAUAGAUGUGCUUCACCCAUCCAACCAAAAAUUCAUAGAACAAUAAAAAGUAUAUGUUAAAGAUAGGGGUGGAACGG